GACGAACCGUGCGAACGUUGUUCGGAUUCACUGGGCUUAAAGGGCGCGUAGGCGGACGGUCAAGUCAGGGGUGAAAUCUUUCAGCUCAACUGGAAAAGUGCCUCUGAUACUGAUCGUCUCGAGGGAGGUAGGGGCAUGUGGAACUUCCGGUGGAGCGGUGAAAUGCGCAGAUAUCAGGAGGAACACCGGUGGCGAAGGCGGUGGGCUGGGCCGGAACUGACGCUGAGGAGCGAAAGCGUGGGGAGCGAACAGG
rnacentral:rRNA from 1 species